rnacentral:rRNA from 1 species
UAGCAUAUCAAUAAGCGGAGGAAAAGAAACCAACAGGGAUUGCCCUAGUAACGGCGAGUGAAGCGGCAACAGCUCAAAUUUGAAAUCUGGCUUCGGCCCGAGUUGUAAUUUGUAGAGGAUGCUUUGGGCGCGGCUCUAACUGAGUUCCCUGGAACGGGACGCCACAGAGGGUGAGAGCCCCGUAUAGUUAGAUGCCUAGCCUAUGUAAAGCUCCUUCGACGAGUCGAGUAGUUUGGGAAUGCUGCUCUAAAUGGGAGGUAAAUUUCUUCUAAAGCUAAAUAUUGGCCAGAGACCGAUAGCGCACAAGUAGAGUGAUCGAAAGAUGAAAAGCACUUUGAAAAGAGGGUUAAAUAGCACGUGAAAUUGUUGAAAGGGAAGCGCUUGUGACCAGACUUGCGCCGGGCAGAUCAUCCGGUGUUCUCACCGGUGCACUCUGCCCGGCUCAGGCCAGCAUCGGUUCUCGUGGGGGGAUAAAGGUCCCGGGAACGUAGCUCCUCCGGGAGUGUUAUAGCCCGGGGCGUAAUGCCCUCGUGGGGACCGAGGUUCGCGCAUCUGCAAGGAUGCUGGCGUAAUGGUCAUCAGCGACCCGUCUUGAAACACGGACCAAGGAGUCAAGGUUUUGCGCGAGUGUUUGGGUGUAAAACCCGCACGCGUAAUGAAAGUGAACGUAGGUGAGAGCUUCGGCGCAUCAUCGACCGAUCCUGAUGUAUUCGGAUGGAUUUGAGUAAGAGCGUUAAGCCUUGGACCCGAAAGAUGGUGAACUAUGCUUGGAUAGGGUGAAGCCAGAGGAAACUCUGGUGGAGGCUCGCAGCGGUUCUGACGUGCAAAUCGAUCGUCAAAUCUGAGCAUGGGGGCGAAAGACUAAUCG